rnacentral:tmRNA from 1 species
GGGGACGAAAUUGGUUUCGACUGUUGUUGCCAGGGAUUAUGUGGCGUGUAGAGGUUGUAGGCUCCUCUCAAAACCUUCAAACAAUAACCGCUAAUAACGAAUUAGCUUUAGCAGCUUAAUCUCUGCUACGGAACCUUAGUUUUUUCUCUUGAAUUCUAAACGUUCUGAAACUUAUCAAGAGGCGGCUCUUUUGGUUUUCGGUUCCUGAAAGAGACUGUAUUCGAGCCGGGUAGGAGAGAGAGUCCUGUCUGAGGGUUAACCUCUUUCCGAAAUUUUAUACACAGACUACACACGUAGAGGCUGAUCUGGGGUGCAAUAGGACGCGGGUUCGAACCCCGCCGUCUCCACGU